rnacentral:rRNA from 1 species
UAACUGAAGAGUUUGAUCCUGGCUCAGAGUGAACGCUGGCGGCAGGCCUAACACAUGCAAGUCGAACGGCAGCACAGGAGAGCUUGCUCUCUGGGUGGCGAGUGGCGGACGGGUGAGGAAUAUAUCGGAAUCUACCCUUUCGUGGGGGAUAACGUAGGGAAACUUACGCUAAUACCGCAUACGAACUGAGGUUGAAAGCGGCGGACCGCAAGGCGUCGCGCGGAUGGAUGAGCCGAUAUCCGAUUAGCUAGUUGGCGGGGUAAAGGCCCACCAAGGCGACGAUCGGUAGCUGGUCUGAGAGGAUGAUCAGCCACACUGGAACUGAGACACGGUCCAGACUCCUACGGGAGGCAGCAGUGGGGAAUAUUGGACAAUGGGCGCAAGCCUGAUCCAGCCAUGCCGCGUGUGUGAAGAAGGCCUUCGGGUUGUAAAGCACUUUUGUUGGGGAAGAAAAGCCGUCGGUUAAUACCCGGUGGUGAUGACGGUACCCAAAGAAUAAGCACCGGCUAACUUCGUGCCAGCAGCCGCGGUAAUACGAAGGGUGCAAGCGUUACUCGGAAUUACUGGGCGUAAAGCGUGCGUAGGUGGUUUGUUAAGUCAGAUGUGAAAGCCCCGGGCUCAACCUGGGAAUUGCAUUUGAUACUGGCAGACUAGAGUGCGGUAGAGGAGAGUGGAAUUCCCGGUGUAGCAGUGAAAUGCGUAGAGAUCGGGAGGAACAUCAGUUGCGAAGGCGGCUCUCUGGACCAGCACUGACACUGAGGCACGAAAGCGUGGGGA